rnacentral:rRNA from 2 species
AGCAGCCGCGGUAAUUCCAGCUCCAAUAGCGUAUAUUAAAGUUGUUGCAGUUAAAAAGCUCGUAGUUGAAUUUCGGGAUCAAUACGUCGGUCGUGCUUCGGUACGUACUGGUGUCAUUGAUUUCUCCCUUCUGACGAACCAUGAUGUCAUUAACUUGGUGUCAUGGGAAAUCAGGACUGUUACUUUGAAAAAAUUAGAGUGUUUAAAGCAGGCUCACGCUUGAAUACAUUAGCAUGGAAUAAUGAAAUAGGACGUUCGAUCCUAUUUUGUUGGUUUCUAGGAUCAACGUAAUGAUUAAUAGGGAUAGUUGGGGGCAUUAGUAUUCAAUUGUCAGAGGUGAAAUUCUUGGAUUUAUUGAAGACUAACUACUGCGAAAGCAUUUGCCAAGGAUGUUUUCAUUAAUCAAGAACGAAAGUUAGGGGAUCGAAGACGAUCAGAUACCGUCGUAGUCUUAACCAUAAACUAUGCCGACUAGGGAUCGGAUGAUGUUAAUUAUUUAAUGACUCAUUCGGCGCCUUACG